rnacentral:rRNA from 1 species
GACGAACGCUGGCGGCGCGCUUAACACAUGCAAGUCGAGCGAUGAAACUUUAACAGAACCCUUCGGGGCGAAGAUAAAGUGGAUUAGCGGCGGACGGGAGAGUAACACGUGAGUAACCUUCCUUAGACAUUGGGAUAGCCUCGGGAAACCGGGAUUAAUACCAAAUAAAAUCAUAAUGACACAUGUCAUAACGAUCAAAACUCCGGUGGUCUAAGAUGGACUUGCGUCCCAUUAGCUAGUUGGUAGGGUAAAAGCCUACCAAGGCGACGAUGGGUAGCCGGGCAGAGAGGGUGGGCGGACACAUUGGAGCUGAGAAACGGUACGAAAUCCUACGGGAGGGAGGAGUGGGGGAUAUUGCAAAAUGGAGGGAACGCUGAAGGAGCGACGACGGGUGAACGAAGAAGGCUUUCGAGUCGGAAAGUUAUUUUAUAUGGGAAGAUUAUGACGGUACCAAAAGAAAAAGCCCCGGCUAACUACGUG